UUGGAUGGAUACUUUAUGAUAAAAUAUUUACCAAUACUGAAAUAUUGGUUGGAAUUGUAUUUGAUAGGAAAGUGUAAUACCAGAAACCGAACUUGGGGGGAUUAUCUAGGAAAAUACUAAUAAGCACUAUGGUCAGGGAGAUAUGGAGAAUUGUAGUGGAAUCGGUAAUGGACCUAUAAGGCUAUUAUUUUAGCUAAAUUAGUGAGAAUAUAUUUGAUAACAAAUAAUAGCCGUUGAAUAGAGAUAGCAGAGUAAUAAUAUUUCAAUAUCUACAUUAAUGGAUAUGAGUUAACCUGUGCCCAAUUCAAAUCACAUUCUUAGGGGAUUUUAAAUAUUAUUUAUUACACUUUUUGUUGAAUUUUUACUAUAUUUUUGUAAAAAAAAAAACAAGUUUCUUACUAUCUUUUAUUUUUCCUCGAUUUCAAAUUAAAAUUUACAUAUCAUCUUGUUUUAAAUUUUUACUAUUUUAAUUAAUUUAAAUGAUUAAUAUAUAACAUGUCUGAAAUAAUAUACUCUAAUUUUUAUGAUGAACUUCCUGUUAUUGAAUCAAUGUUAAGAUCUUCUGCAUUUGUCUGUAUUGAUAUGGAAUUUUCAAAAUUACACGAUGAUAAUGCAGUUCCUUUCACGUUUUUUGAUACGUUAGAAGAUCGAUAUCAAAAAUUGCGUUUGAAAGUUAGUGAUAUUACUUGUAUUCAACUUGGAUUAUCUUUUUUCAUUUAUGAUGUAAAACAUAAAACUUUUGAUGCAAGUUCAUAUUCAUUCUACACAUUUCCUCAAUCAUACUUAAAAUAUGACAAUAUAAUAAAGUUUCAGACAUCAUGUGUUGAAUUUUUAUGUAGGCAUAAAUUUGAUUUCAAUAAGUUAUUUCAUCAUAGUAUUCCAUAUUUAACAAACACGCAAGAAAUUGACAUUCAGGUGCUAAUAUCAGAUGACAACAUCUUAGAUGAUCAUUUUAAAAAUAAUGUUUUUCGUUCUGUAAAAGAAGAACUAAUUGAACAGUUAAAAUCAGUUAAUGAAUGGUAUGACGGAGCAAAAGAAGGAGAUUAUUUGUUAUUAAAAAAAUAUGAGUGUAACAGUCCACUUUUUACUUACUUACUGUUACAUUAUAUUAAAAAGAAACAUCAAAAUGUGUGCUUAAAAGAGGAACAUCAAUAUAUUAAUAUUACUAAAAUGUCAUUUAGUGAAAAAUCAUUUCAAAAAAAUGAUGCUUAUUAUAAAAAGAAGUUCUAUACUAAAAUACUUGGCAUUAAAUAUCUUUUAAAUUUAUUGUCAGAAUUGAAAAAGCCUUUAAUUGGACAUAACUGUGCUAUGGAUAUUUUAAUAUUAUGUAACCAAUUUUUCAAACCAUUGCCAAAUAAUUUGAAAGAUUAUCAAAGUUUUGUUUCCAAUACAUUUGGCCCUAUUUAUGACACAAAAUUAAUGUGCAAGGAAUUUAGACGAUUACUUCCUAAAAAUGUAAAUUGGGAUGGAAGCUCUCUUUCUGAAAUUUAUCUGUUUUUAAAAGACGGUGAUGCUAAAAUUUAUUCAGAUUCAUUAUUUAUCAAACAAUCUACCGAAGAAUUUGAGGAUUUGAAACUACAUCAUGCUGGAUGGGAUGCUUACUAUACAGGCUAUUGUUUUAUCAAAAUAGUUUAUAUUACUAAAAAUUUUUCAAGUAAUACACAAAAUGUCAAUCGAAUGUAUACACUAAUAGAAUUAUUUAAAUCUGUAGAAUCCUUAAAAAAUAAAGUUUUCACUAGCAGAUUAAUGACUAACUGUAUUGAUUUACAUUGUCACAAUUCUAUUUAUAAUCAACCUGAGUGUCUAGUAAUAAAAUCAAAAGGAUUAUUUUCAAUGGCUUUAAACUUGAAUGAAUUAAAAAAUGAUUUAAACUCGAUGUGUAAUUAUGACAUGAAAUUAAUUUCAAAAUCAAGUGUACUUGUUGCAACUCCAAUUUUGAAUAAUAGAAUUAUCAAAGAUAUUCAAACCAAGUAUGCUGUAGAGAAGUAUAAUGAUUAUAAAAUCAGAAAGAAAAGGCAAUAUAUAUGUGUUGGAUUCAUAAUAUUAUCUUCUUUAGCUAUUACUAUGGUAUACCAUAAAAAAUGACAAGCUGAGUAUGUGUUGACAGUAUUAUUUCAUUUUAUUAUAAGAAUAACCUAAUUUAAGCCAAAUAAAAGUCGAUUGUGCGCCGGUGUUGUGUACACGUGAAGAUACACCGCAGCACCAACACACUUCAUAACAAAUCAAUAUGCUCACCCAAAUGACCUAGUAAAAAUGGCCGUGAUCGCAUUGUUCCUUCUAUUCCAUUUUAAUAUCUUACAGAUUUUUAACAUAGCCAGCUAAAAUAAUUUUUUUGUUAAUUUGUACCGCGUUUUAUUAAAAUAACUAUACUAUUUAAAAAAAAAGUGUCAAAGAACUUAAAAAAUGCCGUAGAAGAAUUAAGUACCUAUAAAUCUUCACAUUUGGUCUUGCGCAUUACUAAAACUCUUUUUAUUAAUUCAAAUAUUUUAUCUGUUAAGUGAUUACUAAUAAAGUAUGUCUUAUUUGGCACCUUAAUUGUCUUUCAUGAACCUUGGCGGAAUUUAACGCAUGUAGCCACUUUUUGAAAUUGUUUUUUUGUUUAAAUUUACAAUUUUUGGAAUUAAAUUAAAAUUAAUUAAAU